rnacentral:rRNA from 1 species
CACGCUGUAAACGAUGAACACUUGGUGUGCCGGGAGUUGACCCCCGGCGUGCCGGAGCUAACGCGUUAAGUGUUCCGCCUGGGGANGCAACGCGAAGAACCUUACCUGGGCUUGAACUGAUAUGGACCGGUGCAGAGAUGUGCCUUUUCGCAAGAACUGUAUCAGAGGUGC